AUGAUAGUUUACAACAUUGUGAAAUUUCAGUUGCACAUUUAUUAUUUGUCGUGUGUCCCUACACUGUUUGUGCCCACCCCCAACCCUUCUCCCUCUCCCCUUACCCCCUUGCCCGCCCUCCCUGUCAAUCCCCCCACAAGACCCGCCCCUUGGCUGCGGUGCCGCGGGGACCUCUGGGAGAUAGAUGGGCGCGGUCGGGUCUCGGGAUCGGCUACACUCGGCUCUGCUCGGUCUGUUGGGUUUCGCUCGGAGGCGGCCCGAGCCCAGGCGGCGGCGCGCGGGCUUCUGGGAAGUGUAGUCCGGCGCCUUCCGCGCAGGCGCAGUGUGGGCGGGCGGGCCUCGCGGGCGCCGGUCAUUGUCCUGGCGGAGCGGCGCGCUUGGUUUAGAAGAGCACUCUGUGUGACUGCUGUAAAUGGAAGCUGGGCAUCGCUGUAAAAAAGGAGACAAGCAGUAAAACAAAUGGAAAUAAAGCCAGCCCGCCCGUCCCCUGGUCACCAUGGGCAGUGGAGGGAUGGCCGCCCAGCUGCUGACUGACGAGGCCCUGGUGAGUCAUGUCGCCCUCUCACAGUCCUUUCCAGCCCAGGAUGACCCUCUGACUCCCUGACCCCUCCAGGGCCCACGGCCCUGGCCCGCUCUCCCAGGGCUGUGUCUGCCCUGAUGCGGGAGGACAGUGCCCUGAUAUUGGUUUCAGUCAGCUGCGGGGGAAAGGACAGCUCGGGAGUGACCAGUCCUGCCCUGGUGGGCACCUGGGAGGUGGUGGCUUAGACACUGUACAUCAAGUGUGCAAAAGGCCCCUGCUGGACGCGUGACAGCGGGCAGACAGCACUGAAUGUCCCUUCUGCACACCCACAUGUGUGACAAAGUUACCAGCGCUGGGACAGGCUGCACACAAGGCAGUGGCCGCCUCCGGGCAGAGGGAGAAGCGGCCUGGUGUGGGCACGCGCGCCCUCGGCUCUCCCAAGAUGUUUUAUGACAUUUUAGUGGGUGGUUCGUGUAUGGCUGUGGUUGCAUUUUUCUUUAACUUCUUUAAACUUUCUUUUAUGCAAGAAAUAUUUCAUAAUAAAAAAUAGGUAUAAAUGCUUCUUAUAAAAUAU
rnacentral:lncRNA from 1 species